rnacentral:rRNA from 1 species
UACGUAGGGGGCAAGCGUUGUCCGGAAUUAUUGGGCGUAAAGCGCGGGCAGGCGGCCUCGCAAGUCUGAUGUGAAAGCACUCUGCUCAACAGAGUGAUGCCAUUGGAAACUACAAGGCUGGAGUCUGGCAGAGGUAGGCGGAAUUCCGGGUGGAGUGGUGAAAUGCGUAGAGAUCCGGAGGAACACCAGAGGCGAAGGCGGCCUACUGGGCCAGUACUGACGCUGAGCCGCGAAAGCCAGGGGAGCGAACGGG